UUCUGUGGAUGAGGAACAUAAUUACAAAACACAUUAAAAUUAUAUAUAUAUGUAUGAGUGUGAUGUGUGCAUGGCAUGUGUGCAUGUCCACCCCCCCCUUCCUAAAAUAAAACAAUUAAAAAUAAAUAAAAGAAGCAGGACAAGGAUAUAAUAUUUCACCAAAGAACAUGACUUUACUUGUAUACAGAAAUACAGUUACUAAUAAUAGUAAACUAAUGUUAACUAAUGAACCUUAUUGUAAAAUGUUACCCAAUUAUUUGUUAAUUAUAUUAAAAUAUGUAAAUGACUUUUACUAUUUAUAUAAGCUGCUUAUACUAUUUAUGUAAACUGCUUUUAUUUAUAUUCCAUUGCAACUUUAAACAGGUCUAUAAGGAGUUGAUGUUUUCAUGUAGCCUUGGCAACCAGCCGGCCUGAAAAAUCUGCACAUGAGCAGAAACGUGUUGAAGUCACGUCAACACAUGUUUUACAAUCAUUUACACCGCCAUGGGCAAUGCUGAAGUCAGUGUUACAAACUGUACAGCGUGCAUCAUUAUGUUUAAUGCUUAUAAGACAGGGGGACACUUUCAUGUAGUCUGGUGUAAAAUGUGUCUUAUACUGUGGUUUUUUGGAGCUCUCUCCCUCUGCCAUGGGCCAUGAUGGCGCUCCUGUUUCUAGACACACUAAUUAAUUCGGUUCGGGAGAAGAGAUAAAACCCACCCACACUGACAAUUGAUUGGUUGGCUUACUGAAACAAGCCAAUCAGGAUGCUCUCUGUCUUACAUGCUCUUAAUGACGCACACACGCACACUAGCCCACACACGCAAGGUCUCUCGCUCCCCCUCCCUCUCUCCCUCCCGCUCUUGCUCGCUCACUCUAGAUUCCUGGAGAUUGUAACUAAUUUGCGGGCAUCAGGGAGCCACUAUCAAUAUGCGGGAGACUCCCGGAACAUCCGUGACACUUGGGAUAUCUGGUUAUGGGUAACUAGGAUUUACUUUUUUCCCCAGGUAUUGAAUUUGAAAAUGUUUUAAUUCUUGACAGGUUGAAUUUUCUCGACUUCCCCGAAAAUGAAACACACACAUUUAGAUUCACUCCAUACACCUGUUUACAGAAUAAAUACACUUUCAGAGAGCAAAAUGUAAAGAAAUCUAUGUUAAAACCACAUUAUGUCAGUAUACUAUAGUGAUUUUCUACAAACAUUCUGUAUGUUUUGUUCAUGAGUAACUGAAGAGAGGAGACUGAAAGGACUGUAUACAAACCUGGUUAAACCUGUUUUACAGCUGUGGACGCCGCUCGGCUCUUCUGCUCAGCUGUGGACGCCGCUCGACACUUCUGCUCGGCUGUGGAUGCUGCUCGGCCCUUUUAAUUGUCAUGUGUUUUUAGUCCUGGAAUCCUCAUUAUUUGUCACGUGUUUGACGUGUCCUUGCCCUGUUUUGUGUGUUUUAUUUAAUAAAUUAGUUCAUUUUGACUCUA